rnacentral:lncRNA from 1 species
AUUAAGUGAAAAAAAGUCCAAAUAUUAAAAAUUGUUUUAACAUGUAAUUGGGGGAAAAAGAAAAAAAAAAUUAAAAACCACCAUUGAAAAAAAAACAAAACCCUGAGUUUUCUCAUAGAACCCUCCUUCAUACUCCCCCUCCCCAAUCACCAAGGUGACCACGGCACAGCUGGGUUUGGCUGCCUGGCAACAACAUACCCCUCCCCCUUCCCUUUCUCCUCCCCUUUGCCCAGAGCUCCCCCUUGUCUGAUGCUCUUUUAUGAUGCCUAUCAGCAGCCCCUCUGCUUUUUUUCUUUUCUUCUUAAGGCUUAUCCUUGAUGCUAAUUUUUGACCUGAUUUGAUUCCAUUUGGAUAAAAACUCAUAAAAAGGGAAAAUGGAGGCAUUGGGAUACAUAAAAAGUGGAAGACCUUGUUUGCCCAAGAAAAAUUCCUCCACGAUGGACCAGGUUGGGGAUAAUAACAGAGGGGGCAGAUUAAUUACUGGCUGGCUAUUCCUGUUCCAAAUAUGUGGAGUGCUAAAAAUGCAUGACUGAUCCUUCAUCCUCAGCAGGUUCUGGCUAAAUCUACCUGGAAGAAGCAAUAAGAGGAAUUGGGUGUCCUGUCUUUCUGUUGCCUGUGUGCUGUGCAUGGGCCCAUCUGGAUUAUUAAAUCACUUGCUCAGGG